rnacentral:tRNA from 1 species
UGCGGGAUGGAGCAGUCUGGUAGCUCGUCGGGCUCAUAACCCGAAGGUCGUUGGUUCAAAUCCAGCCCGCUACCA